GACGAACGCUGGCGGCGUGCUUAACACAUGCAAGUCGAACGGAAAGGCCCUGCUUUUGUGGGGUGCUCGAGUGGCGAACGGGUGAGUAACACGUGAGUAACCUGCCCUUGACUUUGGGAUAACUUCAGGAAACUGGGGCUAAUACCGGAUAGGAGCUCCUGCGGCAGGGUGGGGGGGGGAAAGGUUCGGCGGUUGGGGAGGGACGCGCGGCUUAUCAGCUUGUUGGUGGGGUAGUGGCUUACCAAGGCUUUGACGGGUAGCCGGCCGGAGAGGGUGACCGGCCACCUUGGGCCUGCGCUACGGCCCCGCCUCCUGCUUUCCUCCUCCGUUCCUCCUCUUUCCCCCUCUUCGGCCGCCUGCUGCCGCCCCGCCGCGUGCGGGAUGCCGGCCUUCGGGUUGUCCCCCGCUUUCGCCUGUGCCUCCGCGUGCGUGCCGGUCCUUCCUCCCGCCGCCCCGGCUCCCUCCGUU
rnacentral:rRNA from 1 species